rnacentral:rRNA from 1 species
GACGAACGCUGGCGGCGUGCCUAAUACAUGCAAGUAGAACGCAGUUGCGAACGGGUGAGUAACGCGUAGGUAACUGCCUCAGAGCGGGGGAUAACUAUUGGAAACGAUAGCUAAUACCGCAUACUGUGAGAGGGACCUGCGUUGGAUUAGCUAGUUGGGGAGGUAAAGGCUCACCAAGGCGACGAUACAUAGCCUGCCUGGGAGGGUGUUCCGCCACACUGGGAACGGGGCACGUCCCCAGCUCCUUCGGGAGGUAGCAGUAGGGGAUUUUCGGCAAUUGGCGGAAAGCUUACCGAGCAACGCCGCGUGAGUUGAGGAGGUUUUCGGGUCGUCAAGCUCUUUUGUUAGGGGAGCGGUAACUAACCAGAAAGGGCCGGCUAACUACGUGCCAGCAGCCGCGGUAAUAC